rnacentral:rRNA from 1 species
AUUGAACGCUGGCGGGAUGCCUAACACAUGCAAGUCGAACGGAGUGGCGGAAGGGUGAUUAAUGUCUGGGAAAAUGCCUGGGAGUGGGGGAUAACGUCCGGAAACGGGCGCUAAUACCGCCUUCUAUCAGAUGAGCCUAAGUUGGAUUGGCUAGUGGGGGGGGUAAAGGCUGACCAAGGCGACGAUCCGUAGCUGGUCUGAGAGGAUGAUCAGGCACACUGGAACGCAGACACGGUCCAGACUCCUAAGGGAGGCAGCAUUGGGGAAUAUUGGACAAUGGGGGAAAGCCUGAUCCAGCCAUGCCGAGUGUGUGAUGAAGGUCUUCGGGUUGUAAAGCACUUUUGGUAGGAAGGCGUUACCUGCAGAAUAAGCACCGGCUAACUUCGUGCCAGCAGCCGCGGUAAUUC